rnacentral:lncRNA from 1 species
UCAACUCAUUGUUUGUGGAGGCACUGCUUGUUAGUGCAAAGAAUCCCUUCCAAGUCACUGAGUAGCUGUACAGAAAAUCAGAGGGCCGCUGCUUAAUGAUCUCGGCCAUCAGGCUCUUCCAUGCCUGCUGACAGAAAAGGGGGAACCUGACACUGCCCUGGGCCUGUGGGGCUCCUCCCCGCCUCCGUCUUCUGGAGGCACAGCCCACGAGAACCUUCCAGAACACACUGGAGCCCGGCACCGUGGAACUGUUCAGCUAGGCUCUGGCUUGUUUGGAAUUUCAUCUGACUUGAAGGGGCCCGUGGACUCAGAGGAAUUUGGGUCUCAACACAGUCCCGGUGGGAUUUACCCCAGACCGAGGAAUGCUUGUUUUACUCCUGGAUCUGCUACACACUAAAUUCGGGACUUUCCUCCCUUCUCUACACUUUAGUUUCUUUUUAUGUAUGUGGAACAGGAGUAUUAGACACUCUGCGAUUUUAUCAGAAAGGAUUUUACAAUGGUUAUACUGUGAUUUCUCCUUUUCCCUGAGUACAUCUCCUCCUGGCUGAGAGUUCCUGGAGGGGGAAUGACAGCUAACACAUUUCUGAAUCCUUGGUCUUAAGCAUGGUAUUUGGUUCAUGGACACACAAGGUGUCUAGUAGACGUCUGUUAAAAGGACACAUGAAUGAAUGAAUGAAUGAAUGAGGUUUGAGUUGGUGUGCUGUGCUUGGUCUGACAAUGAUAUCAACAGGAAGCUUCACUUCAUCAUCAUCAAUAAUAAAAAGCCUCCAGAAGGGAACACUGCCCUGACGACACUGAUUUUAGCUCAGUGAGAUCCAUUUUGGACUUCUGACCUCCAGGAUUAUACAGUCUCUUCAAUUCUGCCCAAGAGAUUUGGCCUGAAAAGAUUGUGCCUUCAACCUCAUCCUGGAAAUUCAGGUAGCAUUUUUCGGUUUUCUCUCUCAGGAGACAGAAGCUGACACCCCACAUGACUCCCAUCUUGUCUGUAAUCAGCAACCAGGGCUUUGACCUGCACUGUCCUCCUUUCCAGCAGCAGAAAGGGGUCAAACUGAGCCAGGUCUAGUAAGAGCUAUCUCAGAGAACCAGAACACGGAUUUGCUUUUGUUCUCUCAGGACAGCAAACCCAAGGGAGGGCAGACUCAGGCUCACAUCCCACUCACACGGCCCUGAGUGUGGACUGGGAGCAAGACGCUGCUUCAAAUUUCAGCCUGCCAGCUGUGUGUCCACAGGCAGCUAACAAACAUCUCUCAUCCAGCCACAGCCUCACCCAGAGAAGAGUAACCGACCCAACCUUAUAGCGUUGCUGUGAAGUCAGUUAACAUAGGGCUGAAGUUUGCUGUGAAGUCACAGCAACCCUAUGUUAUGGUUAACUUCAUUUAACAUAGGGUUAAUGUAGGUUUAAUAUGAGGGGCUAACAAUUACAUAUAAAUGUUAGCUACUGUAAUUGUCAGAUGCAUGGCCACUGGUGCCAAAGGAACCACUCUGAAAAUUCUGGAGGUUUUCAAGACUCUGGGGAUUCAGAAAUGGAGGAAGAAAAGAAGCUGCUGCAGGAACAGUGCAGGGAAGCUAGAAGGGAACAGGGUGGCAGCCCCAGCUCAAAAGGUCUUCCCUCUCAAGGGCACCACCUGAAACGUAUAAGGUUGCCUGAAAUUCCACAGAUUAGACAUUUAGUUUUGCUUCUUUACAACAAUAUAUCUCAAAGAGAACUGGCUGGUUAAACAUUAUUCAUACAUCUGUGUGAACUGGUUUAUUUGCUCUCUUCCUAAUACCUACACACUUAGAAACUCCAGGGAGCAAAGAGCUUGGGUCUGAGUUAGGGACUAGGAAAGGAACAGAAAGUAAUAACUUAGAGUCAUGAAGCACUGUCCAAGACAUGGCCAGCUGUUCAGACUCUGAGAGCCCCAGUUCAAUUCACUGGCUGGCCUGCAGACAGCCUGCCUGGCUCAUGAGAAGGGAGGAGUGGGGAGUCAGGACCUGGAGGUCCUGAGGUGCUUUUCUGAUGUUGGUACUUUCACGUUGCCCACUCAUAAAAUACCCUUUGUAAAUGGCUUCUGGGACUCCCUCCUCUCUGGGAGUGCCUCCUUCGUGAGCUCUGCAUAUGGGUGGCCCAGAGAGCAGGCCCCAGCUGUUGCCUCUCCUCAGACAUUCCAUCCCUAUGACCUCAUCCAGGUGCGGGCUUGAGUCACCACUCCACUACAGACUCUCUUGAUUUGGAUAUUCAGUUGCCUACUUGACAUCUCCCUUUCAAGUACCUCAAACAAAACGCUCCAUGUGCCCUUACCCCUACCCCCUGCCACCCAAAACAAUCCAAACAAAAACUCCAUCAGCCUGGUCUCCAUGGACAUGUUCUUGAUGCAGUCAACCUUUCAGGACUAUUGACGUUUCUCUUUGUACCUUGUACUUUUCUUUCACAGCCCUUAGGACAAUGUAUAAUCACUUACUUAUUUUCAUAUUGACUUGUGUAAUACCUGUUUCCCAAUAGACUGUAAAAUUCAUGAGAAUGAGACCAGGUGGUUUGUCUCCUGUUCUUCCCCACACCCUAACUGGCACACAGUAGGUCCUCACUAUGUAUUUGUUGAAUGGAUAGUAUUAAAGUGAAGAUGGGUCCUAGGGUGAGGAAGAGUUUCUGGGCACAAAGAAAGGCCAUGAAACCUGGCAAAAAAUACAUAUGAGCUCAUAUCUUGUUUUCCUGAGGAGCUAUUUGGUUUCUUCCUCCUCCUAUUUGAUGAAGUUAUAUGUUUAAUUAAAGCCCUGAACAGUUAGAACAAAUGUAUAGGAAAUGAUCACAUGAUCAUGAACUUAGCAAACAGCUACAAGCUUAACUGUCUAAUAUGGGGAGUGCCUAAAUGAUAUGUAUCAAUAUGGUUGACUCUCAGUUAUCCAUUCCAGUGGAUAAUCUAAUAGCCAGUAAUCUAAUAGUUCAUAAUUUACUUGCCUAUAAUCCCAUAAGUUUUACAUGUGGCUUUGGAUUAUGUUUUGGAAUUUGCACCAGGGUAUGGGGGCUCUGAUGGUUUAGGAAUUCACAGUACUUUGAGCAUAUAUGUCCUAUGUCACUACCCCAGUUGCCCAUUAAGGAUUCCUCUGGGUUCCAACUGCAUGUGGAAAAAAUACUGCAUUGUGCUUAGGAGGAAAGUGCAUUGGUCUUUGUUUGUUUGUUUGUUUGUUUUGUUUUGGCUGUAAAAAUUGGGGUCCAAACCCCAGCUCUUGCAUUUACUAACUAGCUCUGUUUUCACACUACUUGUCCCCGUCUAAACCACUCCCUCAGGCAGGUGCAAAACAAGGCGAAAGCAGAGUUAAGCUCCUUAUGAACUUUCUGUUUUACAUCUAGGCAAAGAAACGUUCUCUCUUCUCCUUUUUUUCUCUUUUUCUUUCUGCCUUAGAAGACCUUCUCUUCCAGCUCAGUGGGAUGAAGUCAACAAGGUCUUUGCUUUACAAAAUCAUGCCUGAUUGGGAAAGAUCCUGAAAAUGUCUAGACAAAUCUGAAAGAAAAAUGCUGUCCUGGGCAAUCUAAUACAGAAAACUGACUCUGGGCUUUCCCUGGGCUCCACUGGUCCCACCAAUGGUGCAAAUGACGGUGACUUUCUCCACGUUCUACAUACAUCUGGGCAUUUGCUCAUGCUGUCUUGGGUCAAAGUCUCAAGUUGGAAAAUGGAUUCAUCCUGAGAUCCAAGGCAGAACCAGUCGUGUUGUCAGUGGGUAGCUGAGACCCCAAAAUUCCCACCUCUUUUCCUGUCAUGAAGUUUCUAUCUCGAGAGAAAACAGCUGUCCAUUCUUAGGCCAACUGGGACUGAAGCCAGCUGUUCCUUCCAGAUGCCAAGAGUCAGAUGCACGCCCACUCUUUUCUCCUAUUCCCUAAGGCUGAAGUCUCAAACUUUAUUGAAUUUAUUAAUAACCUCAGGGACUUGCUAAAAAGCAUUUCCCCAGGCUCUACCUCCAGAGAAUCUGAUUCAGUUAAUUCAGGUUGGCCAGGAAAUCUGCAUGUUAAAUAACAACCCUCCUGCCCCACCUCAUUUCUGAUCUCUAGGAAAUUCCUAUGUAAUUGGUCUGAGAAUCAUACUUUGAGUGACAAUAGCCACAGUGGAGGCACUGGUGUGCCGGUAAAUGUUUAACAACUGGCUCUGGAGGUGGAAAAGCCUGGUUUGUAGCUUGCUGAUUUCUGUGGUAUAAAUAUUCCCACCUUGGUCAACUCAAGCUACAAAUAUGACAUCAUGAUUGUGAAGUUGGGAAAAGGUUUGUGCAAUCAGUUCUGAUAAGCCCAUAGUAACUGAUUUCAGCAUGCCCACUGGGUGGAAGUGGCCGGAUGCCUCCAAAUGCUGGUUCCUAGGCUCUGGCAUAGAAGGGCCACUGUUUGGUCCAGAAUGUCACAUCCCCUAAUUUUUUUUCCCUAAAUCCUUCGUUUUUUGAAUGGUUUGUUUUGGUUACUGGCUCUCGGAGACCUUGAGGGGUUCCAAGCCAGAGAACAAAGAAGGGGAAGAGAAGGAGCUCCAAGAAAGAAAAUGCAAUUAGUGUAGGAUGUUGGCCUCAGCUACGCUGCUAACCUUGUUCAACCCAGCUUUCAGCAGGGAAGGGGUUUCAAACACCUGUCUCUGCCUUCAUUUGAUAAGCUUUCUGGUCAAGUCACAUUAACCUGAUCCUGCUGACCUGGAGAAGGAUGAAAAGGCUGAGUGUCGGGGACCUGAGGGGAUGAAAGUGGAUGGGGGAGGCCUGGGGGGGGGGCUCAUAUGACCUGGGGUCACCAUCGGCUUAAGGCUUCCCCUUUGUCUCCCUGCUCUGGCCCCAUGUUUGAAGGUUCUGGUGAUUUCCUCCCGCCCCCCGACUAGGCGAACAGAUGUGGAAAGAUCUCCAGUUCCCAGGGCUCAGGACACAACUGCCUGUUGUUUCCCGCCUGCAGACCGGGGCCUGCAGUCACAGGCAGAACAGCUACGCAAUCACUUGCCAAAGAGCUGAGCCCAGUCAGGUGUGGGGUGCAAGCCUACUCUGCCUUUUGGGAGUGAGAGGAUGUGUAAGCCUAGCUGAACAAGAAUGGAAAACAACCAUGUUCCCGCCCUGUUGUGCUCUAAGUUCACUGUGUAGGAAUUCAGAGGCACUUUAGCAGAGGCAAUGACUUGAGCUCUUCCACGGCAAUACAAUGCUCACAGGUGCCAUGACCAUUUGAACAAACGCUGCCUUCUGGGCCAGCUGCUUCUCUUGUCCCACACUGCAGGUACUGCCAACGUGAGAACUUUGCCCACUUCUAGACUGGAGUUGAGGGCACCCUGCUACUCUAAAAAGGAUGUUUUCCUCAGCCCACUGAGCUUUCAGGGCUCACUAGAUCAAGGCGGUAGAAGAGUUACAAAGGAAGGGGUGCAAGUGUUAGCUUCCUUAUGUACCUUAUUUAUUCAACACUGAUAGUUUCAGAAAUGGCUUAGAGCCUAGCUUCCUCACCAAUAUCCAUAUACCUUUGACAAGUGGGACAAAUAAAAGCAUAAAAAUAUCUCCCUUAAAUAAAACGCCUUUCUCAUAUCUAGUCCAUCUACAAGAAUAAGCUGAUACCUAAUGAUAUGUUUUCUAGUUUAUGCAAUAAAUGGUGGUGAUUACAAUUUUGCACAAAGACCUGGUACAUAUACGUCUUAGCAUGUAGCACAUUUACCUGUAAAUGCUACAAGUAGCAGAAUGACAGCCAUCUCCCUAAAGCACUGAUUCUCCAAGUGAGGUCUGCAGUCCCCUGGGAUCCCUGAGACCCUAUCAGGGUGUCUGCAAGCUCAAAAUUAUUUUCAUAAUUUUGAUAAUAUUUCAUAAUAAUACCAAGAUGUUAUUUGCCUUCUUCACUGUGUUGACAUCUGGGUAAAAUUGCUGGUGCUAGACUAUGCUGGCAGUCACGGCAUUCUUCACUGCUACAAACUUACAGGGGGAAUAAAUGCCAGUUUCACCAAAGAAUGUCCUAAAUUAGACAGUAAAAAUUAUUAAUUUUAUAAAACCUUGCCCAAAAGGUACUUUUUCUCUCCUCCCCUCCUCUCCCCUCUCUGCCUCCCUUCCCCUUCCCCUUCCCUUUCCUUUCCUUCCCUUCCCUUCCCUUUCUUUUCUUUGUGUGAUGACUUGGAAACAAAGUAUCAAGCAUUUCUGGUGCAUCCUGAAGUAUGAUGGUCAUCUGGAGGAAAAGCACUUGUGUGAGUGUCCUGAGUUGUGAUCUGCACUAGUCACUUUCAUGGAACACAAUGUUUACUCAAAAGGACCAAAUAACCAUAGUUAUUCAGAUUUGGUUAUUUGACAGGCAUUUUCUCAAAAAUGAACAAACUGAGCUCAUCACUUCAAGAAAGACAAUAAUUAACAGUAUUUUCUGCCAAAAUAGAAGUAUAAAGCAAAAAUUAGAAUUUUUAGAAACCUGUAUCUGCCAUAGUGAACUUAACACCUUCCCAACACUUACAGAGGUUUUUGAUGAGAUCAGUGAUAUUAACAAAUAAGAACUUUUAGUUUUCAUCAAGAAAUAUAUCAAAUUUGAAAAAUCUGCAUGACUUAGUGAAGCAAUAUUUUCCAAAUGACCCAUGCAUAUUAUUUCAAAAUCAUGCAUGAGCAAAAGAUCUAUUCAGAGUACAAGCCAGAUAACUGAAUUUUAACAUAACUGAGCACAAAAAGUUCAUUGAUAUAGUUUCAGAUUCCACAUUGCAACUAACCUUAGUAAUCUACUAUUGGUUGAGUUUUGGUAUAAUGUCAAAGAAGAAUAUUCACAAUUAUCUGAAAAGACUAUUAAAAUAUUCCUCCCUUUUCCAACAAAAUAACUACGUGAGGCUGGGUUUCCUUCGCAUACUUUAUCCAAAACAACAUUAUCACAGCUGAUUGAAUGCAGAAGCCGAUAUGAGAAUCCAGCUGUCUUCUAUUAAGCCGGACAGUCAAGAGAUUUGCAAAAAUGUAAAACACUGUCACUCUUCUCACUUGGAUUUUUUAAAAAAGUUAUUUUUAUAAUAAAAUGUUAUUUUUAACGUUUAAAUGGAUUAAUGAAUAUAUGCAUUUUAAUAAAUUACUAAAUGUUAAUUUAUUCAUUAACAAUGAAUAAAUAUUAAAUGAACAAAUAUUAUUUUUGGUUUUAGUUUUUAAUAUGGUAAAUUAUUUAAUUAUCUAUUGCUGUAUAGCAAAGUAUCCUAAAACCUAGUGGCUUAAAACAACAAUAAUCACUUGAGUUGCCAGCCUAAAGAAAUGGGUCCAGCUUCCGGGCAGGGCGUGGUGGCUCACGCCCGUAAUCCUAGCACUUUGGGAGGCCGAGGUGGGCGGACCACAAGGUCAGGAGAUCGAGACCAUCCUGGCUAACAUGGUGAAACCCCGUCUCUACUAAAAAUACAAAAAAUUACCCGGGCAUGGUGGUGGGUGCCUGUGGUCCCAGCUACUCGGGAGGCUGAGGCAGGAGAAUGGCAUGAACCUGGGAGGCAGAGCUUGCAGUGAGCCGAGAUCAUGCCACUGCACUCCAGCACUCCAGCCUGGGCGACAGAGUGAGACUCUGUCUCAAAAAAAAAAAAAAAAAGAAAAGAAAAGAAAGAAAGAAAGAAAGAAAUUGGUUCACCUGGGUGGCUCAUACCUGUAAUCCCAUCACUUUGGGAGGCUGAGGUGAGAUGAUCAUUUGAGGCCAGGAGUUUAAAACAAGCCUGGGCAACAUAGCGAGACCCCAUCUCUAAAAGAAAAAAAAAAAAGCCAGGAAUGGUGGUGCACACCUGUAGUCCUAGCAACUUGAGAGACUGAGGCUGAAAGAUCACUUAAUCCCAGGAGGUUGAGGCUACAGUGAAUUGUGAUUGCACCACUGCACUCCAGCCUGGAUGACAGAGGGAGACCCUAUCUCUCUAAAAAAAAAAAAAAAAAAAAGAAGAAGAAGAAGAAAGGAAGAAAAGAAAUUAUUGGUCCAUAUGUCUGAAAUGUCUUUGCUGUCUAUCUUUGUCCCGUUGCUCAUAGUUAGACCAUCAUUUAGGCAACUUCUUGCUCACUUACCCUCCACAAGCUUGGACACAGGUCCUUCUAGCUCUGUUUCUUCUGAACUUGAGAUUACUGGAGACUCCCUUAUGAGUUUUAACACUCCCCAUAACCUUUGUAUGAUUUGUACAUAGAAAAUACCCCCAAAAUUAAAAAUAAAUUAUUAAACUAAAGGAAAGGUUAGUAAGAUUGCUGGACAUAAAAUUAAUAUUUGAAAAUAAAUUAUAUUCCAAUAAGAUACACAAAUGGCCAACAAGCACAUAAGAAAUAUCUUUAGUAUCACCUGCUCUCUGCAGCUCCCAGGCACACCUCCCCAGGAGCAGAGGUUUUCUGGGCUAGGUCAGGCCCUCCCAUUACCUGCUUUGUAGAAGACAGGGAAGAAAAUCACUCACUGUAUGUAAUUUUAUUUAAGAGAGUGCAAGAAUGUCGUGUUUGAGCCUUUCACUCUUUUUUCUUUGUAUUUCUUAUCGGAAAUGAAAGAAAACAGCCAGUGAGAUAGGAUCUCAGGUCUAGAAUUCCUAGCAGGUAAUUUGGGAGUUGAAAACAAAUCUCCCCUGAAAUGCAUUAAGCAGGUGAAGGGGAUUCCAGUUUCAACUCUGAAACCACACCUUAUCCUGGCCUGGCAAAUAACUUCCUUCCAGCCCCAGGCAAAUCCCAACUUCCACCCGCCAAAUGCCUGCAGUUAAUAAACGUUUAAGCAACAACAAAAACCCCAAGUGGAAAAUGGAAGACUGAUUCGAGGCUGAGAUACUAGAAGGGCUGCCUGGGAGCCCCUCUCUGAGAGCCGCGCCCACAGGAGGAACUUUUAGCCAGGGAAGCCGGGGCCUGGAGCUGGGGAACCCAAGGCAUGAUGUCUUUCAGAGCGUCAGAGCAGGGUAAAUAUCUGAUUUGAGUCAAAUGAUUAUUUUUCUUGAUCAGAUUUGUCCACUUGUUUCAUUGGAACUCCAUACCACUAGCCAUGGUCAAACCCUUCAAAAUGGCCAAAAUCUCCAGACUGCAUUAUUGGGCCACAGUAGGUCCUGCUUCCUGCUAAGUGCUGCAAGACUGGAGUUUCCAAGCUCUGGUCUAGAUAGGUCAGCUGAGGGUUGGUAAGGAAGUUCUCAUGGGUCCAGAGAGAACUAAGAAAAAAAGGAUCAUGUUAUGCUGUGGAAAUGUGCUCCGCGGUAAUUUUUAUUCCCAUUUUACAUAUCAGAAAACAGAGGCUCAGAGACGUUGAAUGACUUGCCACAUAGCUAGUCAGUAGCAGAGCGAGGAUGGAGAUUCACAUGAUCAAUCACAGUGACCACCGUUUGCUGAGCACCUGUAGUGAGACAGGCAAACACCUUGUGCUUUGUGUGUGUUAACUUGUUCAGUUCUCGUGGAUUGCUUCCUUUUUAAAGAAAUGAAACUGUUCAACAGAGCUUCCUGCCAUAAGGGAAAUCUUCUACAUCUCACGUCCAAUAGAUAGCCACAAGCCCCAUGUUGCUAUUCAGCCCUUGAAAUGUGGUAAGUGAAACUGAGGAACAAAAUUUUAAAAUUUUAUUUCACUUAAAUUGAUUUAAAUGUGAACAGCCACAUGUGGCUGGCAGCUCUGGGAGGUUCAGUAGCUUUUCCAAAAGCCAGCGAAGUGAUGAGGUGAGGGUUGUGUUGUGGGGCUGAUUGAGCCCCAAAUCCAUGUGUUUCCCCCUUUCUCUCUGCUCCCCUGUGAGGUGGCCUGCCUUUUCCAAAGUAAAAGACACUGGGAAGGAAACUGACCAGACAGUAUACAGUCAGCCAAAAAUAAAGCCAGACCCCAAAGGUGGGGUCUGUAUUUGAGUCUGCUUCUUCCGAAUGUGUCUGGAAGCCCCCAUGGGUGGCCAAACAGCCCAGCUGGGGGCUUCAGACCCUGCACCAGUAACUUCCCAGAGCCCACCAUGGCCCAUUUGGCUGGGGCUUAUAUGACUCACAGGUUCCAACCCUACAAUUUAAACUGCAGCAUUUCCUUUUUCUGGGCUUAACACUAAUUGGUAGAGGUAGUGAGCUCCCAGGCCCAGCCUCACCCUGUCGAAACAUGUAGCUCUCAACAGUUCCCACUGGAAGCACCACCCAUGAGGUGCAGCUACCAUUGCCAUGUGUCUGAAUGCCAGUGUUUAACCCAAGCUGGCCCAUUGUUGUUCCAUGAGCCUCUCUAUAGCCUCUGAAUGUUCAUCUUU